AGGAAUUGCCUUUUGGAUGGAAAUUUGUUGUAAGAUAAGAUCUCUUAGUUGAUGCUUGUUACAAUUUUGUUUGUUGGAGAUUGUUGAAAAGAAGUUUGCUUAAGUUUGUUCAGUUUGAUGAAACAGUGCUCUUCUAAAUGCACUUUCAAUAAAGCAUUGAAGCUCUAUAAAUUAGUCUUCUAAUUAGGGGUUUUGGCAUUGGAAUGGAAGUUGGUGUAUCCUACUAGAUAGGCUUAAGUACCUUCUUUUACACAUAUUUUGUGGCAAUACAAUUUGAAUUUCGUUAUUUCUUUCGUGCUACUUCCAUUUAUUAUUUCAACACCUUAUAUGAAGUAGCACGAAAGAAAUAACGAAAUUC
rnacentral:misc_RNA from 1 species